CAGUGUCUCCGUCGUCUUCUGAUUUUCCUCCGAAUCGGAGAAGAAGGGUAACCAAAUCCUGAUCCUCCGAAUUCGUGGUUUUCUGAUUCUUCCGGCGCUCCUCAUGCUUACGGCAGCCUGAGAGCGAGGCGCUCUCGAUUGAUUCCAUGGUCUGAUCUUCCGCGAAUCGCAAUCCGACGGUGGCGAUGGCGUCGACGCAGAACCAAUUGGCGCAUGUGGAUCUCUUCGAUGCGUAUUUGCGACGGGCCGAUUUGGACCGCGAUGGCCGGAUUAGUGGCAAUGAAGCCGUCGCUUUCUUCCAGGGCUCUGGUCACCCAAACAGGUCCUUGCGCAGGAGAAUGAGGAACAGGAUGACCCAGACGUGAGGUGGGAUCCAGAUUCUGAUAUGGAGGUUGAUGAUGAACGUAAGCCUUUACCAAGCAGAGUAAAGAAAGAGAUCAUUGAACCUGAAGUUAGAGAUCCGGCUUUGGAUAUGGGAUCUGGAUCAGUGGAUGAACCAACUGUGAAGGUUGAACAAGACACUAUGAAUAAGCCUGCGGACCAGAUAUAAACGUUAUCACGAUCAAAUUUAUUUAGGGUGACUUGAUCACAAGCAAAGUCAUUCAAACUUACUGUCCAUCGAUCUGUGAAGUUGGUAAUUUAUUUGAGCAGUAGCCAUUCCUGUUGCUGCACCAGUAAAAAGUGAUGGAGCAUGGUAGCCUCCACCUAAUCCAGAGGCUCGACACAAUAAGGUUGCACCUAUCUUGACCACUACCAACUGAAGAAACUGAUCAGCUGAGAGACCUUUCUCAAAUGGUCGAGAUUCCAGCAAAAUGUGAACAUUCUCGAAACCCCGAUAAAGAAUUUCAGGAUAUGCCAAUGCCAUCAGCCCAAUAGCCAAGCCACCCACGAUAGGGAAAAAAAAAUUUGGUAGGCCAACUGUCUUGUGAAGAUUGUCAACAAAUACCAACACGUAUGAUGUGCACUUUGAUAAGGUUAACGAAACCAAGCCACAUAGGACACCCAGCAAUAGAUAUAGCGGAAGCUCUGAAAAUGAUACGAAUACGUCUCAUUAUUAAAACCGCAGCUUUAAACAA